rnacentral:rRNA from 1 species
GGCAGGAACGAUAAUGACGGUACCUGAAGAAGAAGCUGCGGCUAACUACGUGCCAGCAGCCGCGGUAAUACGGGGGGAGCAAGCGUUGUUCGGAUUUACUGGGCGUAAAGGGCGCGUAGGCGGCCACGACAAGUCACUUGUGAAAUCUCCGGGCUUAACUCGGAACGGUCAAGUGAUACUGUCGGGCUAGAGUGCAGAAGGGGCAACUGGAAUUCUCGGUGUAGCGGUGAAAUGCGUAGAUAUCGAGAGGAACACCUGCGGCGAAGGCGGGUUGCUGGGCUGACACUGACGCUGAGGCGCGAAAGCCAGGGGAGCGAACGGGAUUAGAUACCCCGGUAGUCCUGGCCUUAAACGAUGAAUGCUUGGUGUCUCGGGUUUAUAGUCCCGGGGUGCCGGCGCUAACGCAUUAAGCAUUCCGCCUGGGGAGUACGGUCGCAAGACUGAAACUCAAAGGAAUUGACGGGGACCCGCACAAGCGGUGGAGCAUGUGGUUUAAUUCGACGCAACGCGAAGAACCUUACCUGGGCUAGAAUGCCUCUGACAGCCUGAGAGAUCAGGUCUCCUGGGUAAAACCAGGCAGAGUGCAAGGUGCUGCAUGGCUGUCGUCAGCUCGUGUCGUG